rnacentral:lncRNA from 1 species
GAGUGCUGGGAUUAAAGGCGUGCACCACCACCGCCCGGCUUGCCUUCCUAAUUCUUGAUACUAAUAACAAAAUUUCUUGAGAUAGUGUUUACUAUGUACCCUGGCUGGACCUUGUCACUUAGAUCUGCCUGACUGUCUAGCAAGUGCGGGGAUUAAAGGUGCGUGCCACAAUACUUUAAACUCGGGGCCUAAUAUAUGAAAGGACAACUUUGGAGACUUGAUCUUUCCCUCUCUGCCUCACACAGGCCAUCAGGGCUGCAUAGGCAAGCACUUGAACAUGGUGAGCCAUGAAAUUUCAAGACACUGUUUCUCUGUGUAGUCCUGACUAUAUUAGAACUAGCUCUGUAGAACAGGCUGGCCAUAAACUCAGAGAUCCACUUAACUCUGCCUCCCAAGUGCUGGGAUUAAAGGCAUGUGCCACUAUGCCUGUUUGUUUGUUUUUAAAUAAAGGAAAACAACCUGGAAUAAAGAACAACCCUAUUGUAUCUGGUUUCUGGAAGUUGUGGAACAGAACAGUGGGCACUGACUACCCUAUCUACAGCUGGCUACGAUGGGCACUGAGUUGGAGAGAGAUCCCAUGGCUGAGGUGCCAGGAAAACAGGAGUACUGAUGAGGGCCAGAUUCUGUGAAGCCAAUUCUAAGUCGCCCUCCCAUUGCAUGUGAGCACCCUAGUCCAACAGCCUAGUGCUUAUUUGGGGGGUGGUGGUGGUGGGUUGCAGGAGAGGAAUCACAGUUAAAAGUUUAAAAUAAAUUAAUUUUUAAAAGAAAUUAGCUGUGACGCUUAAAAAAAAUUCACUCUCAUACUGCUCUUACAGAAGACCCAAGUUUGGUUCCCAGCACCCAUCCCGACAGCUUACAAGUGCUUGGGGCUCCUAUACCCUCUUUUGGCUUCCAUGAGCAUUAAUUACACUUGUGUACACACAUACACUCUCAUACUUUC